rnacentral:rRNA from 1 species
GGUGAACGCUAGUAGUAUGCUUAACACAUGCGAGUCGAACGGAGAAUCUUUCUUCGUGGCGUACGGGUGAGUAAUACACAGGAAUCUGCCUUUUAGUUCAGGCUAAAAUUCUGAAUAAUCAAAGAAAUCUUUUCGCUAAAAGAUGAGCCCGUGGAGGAUUAGGUAGUUGGUAUUGGGUAAAAGCCUACCAAGCCUAUGAUCCUUAGCUGUUCUGAGAGGUUGUACAGCCACACUGGGACUGAGACAAGGCCCAGGCUCCAUUCGGAGCCAGCAGUGAGGAAUUUUGGACAAUGAGCGAAAGCUUGAUCCAGCAAUACUACAUGAGUGAUGAAGGCUUUCAAGUUGUAAAACUCUUUGGUUGAGGAGGAUAA